rnacentral:rRNA from 1 species
AUUGAACGCUGGCGGCAGGCCUAACACAUGCAAGUCGAGCGGAUGAAGGGAGCUUGCUCCUGGAUUCAGCGGCGGACGGGUGAGUAAUGCCUAGGAAUCUGCCUGGCAGUGGGGGAUAACGUCCGGAAACGGGCGCUAAUACCGCAUACGUCCUGAGGGAGAAAGUGGGGGAUCUUCGGACCUCACGCUAUCAGAUGAGCCUAGGUCGGAUUAGCUAGUUGGUGGGAUAAAGGCCUACCAAGGCGACGAUCCGUAACUGGUCUGAGAGGAUGAUCAGUCACACUGGAACUGAGACACGGUCCAGACUCCUACGGGAGGCAGCAGUGGGGAAUAUUGGACAAUGGGCGAAAGCCUGAUCCAGCCAUGCCGCGUGUGUGAAGAAGGUCUUCGGAUUGUAAAGCACUUUAAGUUGGGAGGAAGGGCAGUAAGUUAAUACCUUGCUGUUUUGACGUUACCAACAGAAUAAGCACCGGCUAACUUCGUG